rnacentral:rRNA from 1 species
CCUUGUACACACCGCCCGUCACACCACGAGAGUUUGUAACACCCGAAGUCGGUGGGGGAACCUUUUUGGGGGCAGCCGCCUAAGGGGGGGUAGAUGAAUGGGGGGGAGGCGUAACAAGGUAGCCGGAUCGGAAGGGGCGGCUGGAUCACCCCCUUUCUAAGGAA